GUGGGGAAUAUUGGGCAAUGGGGGAAACCCUGACCCAGCAACGCCGCGUGAAGGAAGAAGGCUUUCGGGUUGUAAACUUCUUUUACCAGGGACGAAGGACGUGACGGUACCUGGAGAAAAAGCCACGGCUAACUACGUGCCAGCAGCCGCGGUAAUACGUAGGUGGCAAGCGUUGUCCGGAUUUACUGGGUGUAAAGGGCGUGUAGGCGGAGAAGCAAGUCAGAAGUGAAAUCCAUGGGCUUAACCCAUGAACUGCUUUUGAAACUGUUUCCCUUGAGUAUCGGAGAGGCAGGCGGAAUUCCUAGUGUAGCGGUGAAAUGCGUAGAUAUUAGGAGGAACACCAGUGGCGAAGGCGGCCUGCUGGACGACAACUGACGCUGAGGCGCGAAAGCGUGGGGAGCAAACAGGAUUAGAAACCCCAGUAGUCC
rnacentral:rRNA from 1 species